GAAAAGAUGAAUGUCUGGAAGUUGGAAGCUGUGAACAAUGUGAGGAGGGUUGAUUAGACCAGCACUGGCAGAUGGAACUGGUAGAGGGGUGGUGAGGAGGCUUAAGAUUAUUGAGAAUGAGGUUGAUAAGACAGUGCUUGAGGGUUUGGCUCUUGAGUUAGAAUAAACUGAUACAGGUUAAAGGGGUGGAUUUGGAUGUGUGAAAAAGGGGUUGGGAUGAAUGGGAUAGUGUUGGGAUGAAUGGGAGUAGUGUUGAGG